UGGGCCGCGACGGGCACCCGGUACCUUACUCAACCGAGUACCAACGUAACGUAUCUUUCUUAUUACAUCAUUAUAUACACGUGACAUACGGGCCUAGUAGGCCAACAUAAUUAUUUAUAAACUCAAACAUAGGCCGACAAGGUCGUACAAUCUUUCACGUAUACGACAUAUAUCUACAAGCCUCUAAGAAUACAUAAAUGUCAUAGAGGUCGGGAUAGAGUCCCGCCAUACCAAAUAAUACACGUCUAAAUCAUACUAACCAAACAAGCAACUCCGAAGCAAAUGGAGCGCACCAACAUCUUCCGUCGAGCUGAUAGCCUACUUGGAGGGCUCUCGACCUGUCUAUCGGAACCUGCGGGCAUGAAACGCAGCGUCCCCAGGCAAAAGGGACGUCAGUAUGAAUAAUGUACCGAGUAUGUAAGGCACAUAAAUAAAUACAUAAGAGACAUAGAAGAUAUAUAGAGUACAUGACUCAACCUGUAAGUCUGAAUAACUUUGUAAAUUAUAAAUUACUUUUAACAUCAUGCAUAUGCGUAUGAAUGUCAUGUAUUGCAUAGGUACAUGUUUCAUAACAUUAUCAGUCUCUGAGGGCAUCCCAUCAUAUUAUAUCGGCCAUUGUAGACAAAAUCAUCAUCGUAUACUAGCUGAUCAGGUGGUGGUGCAUAUAUAACGCCAUAACCUUUCCCAUAUCCCAUAUACAUAUAUAUACGUGUAUAUAACGCCGUUUGAAUACAUACAUAUAUAUAUGCGUAUAUAACGCCAUUUGAAUCAUAUUUCAGCCACUGUGGGCAACAUCAUCAUCAUAUACUAGCUGAUCAGGUGGUGGUGCGUAUAUAACGCCGUAACCUUUUUCCAUAUCCCAUAUACAUAUAUUUACAUAUAUAUGCGUAUAUAACGUCAUCUGGUCAUGGGUCAAUGCAUAUGAAUGCAGUACAUAAAAAGUACGUCAAAAAAAUCAUUCGGAAUGUCAUAAGACCAUUUUGCCUCUGAGUAAUAUUAUAAAGUAAACUCUUUUAAACUUUUGUAUUUUUCUGAGACCCAUGAACCGAUGAUAAGAUAUUAUAACACACGGAAAUUAAAGAACAUAGAUAUCUCUAAUACUUCUAUGAAUAGAGUCAUUCAUGGAAUUUGUGCAUUUGCACGUUCCGUUCGUAUCAUAUGGAUCAUGCCAAAAGAAAGAAGGGAUAGCCUUAACAUACCUGGAGUAGGAGAAACUCCAUAUAAUAUUUCGUUGGAAGACCUUCGUUGUUUGAACGAAAUUUGCCUUUGCUCCUUGAAAAUUCACGGACGAAAAUAUUUUCUGGUUCCUAAAACUUUGGAACGAAUGAUCAUUGAAUUCUUUUGAUUUUGGAGAAAAACAUUUCUGGUUCUUCUUAGUUUUGAAAGAAUGACAUUGAAUUCAUUUUGAUUUUUUUGGAGGAAAAUGUUUUUCUUUGGUUGCUUGAGAAUUUGAGAUGGAACGUUUCUGUUC
rnacentral:lncRNA from 1 species